rnacentral:rRNA from 1 species
AGUGAACGCUGGCGGUAGGCCUAACACAUGCAAGUCGAACGGCAGCACAGUAAGAGCUUGCUCUUACGGGUGGCGAGUGGCGGACGGGUGAGGAAUACAUCGGAAUCUACUUUUUCGCGGGGGAUAACGUAGGGAAACUUACGCUAAUACCGCAUACGACCUACGGGUGAAAGCAGGGGAUCUUCGGACCUUGCGCGAUUGAAUGAGCCGAUGUCGGAUUAGCUAGUUGGCGGGGUAAAGGCCCACCAAGGCGACGAUCCGUAGCUGGUCUGAGAGGAUGAUCAGCCACACUGGAACUGAGACACGGUCCAGACUCCUACGGGAGGCAGCAGUGGGGAAUAUUGGGCAAUGGGCGCAAGCCUGAUCCAGCCAUACCGCGUGGGUGAAGAAGGCCUUCGGGUUGUAAAGCCCUUUUGUUGGGAAAGAAAAGCAGCAGGUUAAUACCCCGCUGUUCUGACGGUACCCAAAGAAUAAGCACCGGCUAACUUCGUG